UACAGAGGGUGCGAGCGUUGUUCGGAAUUACUGGGCGUAAAGCGCGCGCAGGCGGCCUUUUAAGUCUGCUGGUGAAAUGCCGGGGCUCAACCCCGUGCCCGCCACAGAUACUGGGAGGCUGGAGACAUGUAGAGGCAAGCGGAAUUCCGGGUGUAGCGGUGGAAUGCGUAGAGAUCCGGAAGAACACCGGUGGCGAAGGCGGCCUGCUGGGCAGUUGCUGACACUGAGGCGCGACAGCGUGGGGAGCAAACAGG
rnacentral:rRNA from 1 species